ACGGCGGUCUACUCAACGGCGUUUACUUUUCGAGCAUCCAUCAUCGGAGUUGGGGGGAGAGAGAGACUCUGUUGUUUCUCCCUGCAGUAGUUUUAUAUUUACAUUUGAGUGCAGAGCCUUAUAGGUGGAGGUAGGUGUCUUGCUCAAGGGCACAUUGACAGUCCUCUCUGUAGAGGAAGGAAAACAAUUGCAAUUUGUUCCAGUUUAUCCUUUUAAUCUAAUAGAGUGCCAUCAGUUUAUUAUUGUAACAUCCAAAUACCCAAUAACACACAGCAUAUUUUGUAAAGAUAAAUGAUUUUGGACUGUUUUUUUUAUAUAUUAUUAUAUCUUAUAACAGAAUGUAGCCUUGUUCUUACUAAACAAUGGAUGUUAAACUUUUCCUGGAACCUUAAUUUCAUAAUUUGUGUCUCAUAAUCUGCUAAACAAAUAAAUUGUGAUUAGGGAUUGACCUGUGGUUAGAAAAGCUGUUUUGGGCAGUAAGUAGGAAACUAUACUAGCCUGCUGAAAAUAGCUCGAACUCUGAGAAGAGGCAAGUAAGAAGAUAAUUCCUCCACAGGGAUCAAUGAAGCAUCUCAUGAUUAUUACUGUGCAGACUUUGUGUGAGGAGUUUAAGAGAGAGCUUAGUUACAAAGCAAAGCUCUCACUCACAUUCUUUAACAAGAGCCUGACCUGGACCAUGGGCAGAACAUCAAGUGUCACUCUUCAUUUUACACACACUCAUAAUGUUGUCCAUAUUAUGACAGGGUAGAAUCCAUUAAUACACCUGGACUGACUAAUCACCAGCUUAGAUAACCACACUUACCAUGUCCUUCAUAAGCUCCAGCUUGGGGGACAUUUUGAAGGCAUUUCAUUGAAAAUAAUUAAAGUUAACCGUGUGAAACAGCACAAUGUAACAAUAAUGUACAUUCUGCAGAGUGUGUUGCUCGCUAAAUGAAGUAGAAGACUUGAUCAACACUCACUUUUCAGUGGAUUUAACUGCUGGAUGCUUAAAAAAUGUGUCUCGUGAGGACUGAGUACUCAAAAUUAUUGUCACUUUCUCUACUAUUAAAAUAGUAUCAAGUACAACAGGAGAAACCUCACUAGUCUCAAAAGUCAGCGAUCCACAAAAUCCCAUACACCUGUUUUUACUGUUUUUUAAAUGAAUCUGACUCAAAUGGAUUGUAAAGACUGUAAAUAAGAUAUAAGAAAUAGUAAUACAGCCACAAGAACCAAACCUUUGCAGCUCAUUAUUUUAGAACUUUUUAAAUGCUUCUAAGUGUUCAAAUUUGCAGGUGAAAUGGAGCUUGACAUAUUGUGAUUAGAAAAUCUGGUAUUUUGUCUGAUGGUGGUGCUAUUUAGCAUGAUCCAAUGAGCUCAGUGAAAGGUUUGCCAUGUAUCUGAGUCCGGUCCAAACACCACACACAGUGUAUGAGAAAAUCCUUAUUUUAUUUAAACCUGUGCUUUUCCUAGUGUGACAUGUCAAAAUUCCCUUCUGAGAUAAAAGUAUUUUAGGUUGACAAGGAAAUAAGAAGGGAUGGAAAAUACUAAUUAUAUAUCAUAUUCCAGAAUAUGGAGUUUCAUUUUUAAUUAAUUAAUUAAUUUUGCUCAUAAGUUUGGGUAUAUUGUUAAUUUCCUCAGUUUAAUAAAUAAACACUUACUUAUUUUGUCACUUACUUUCUUGCACACUAGCCUGGUUGUCCACUAGAUGUCUCCUAAUCUCUUCCUCUGAGUAUUCAUUGCACGCUGUGUGUAAGAUGAGCAUCACAUGAUACUUUACCUCUGUGGUCUGUCUCUUUUUGUCUCUAUUGUCUAAAUGAUGCUUCACCUUGUUUUGUUCCCCCCAUACAUCCUGAGCAGUCCCUCCCGGUAGUCACUGUAAAACUAUAUUUUCUCUCCAGACCCCUUGUCCCCAGGAUGCUUCCAUGACAACCGUGUUGUUUGUCAUACUAAUUGUGUCAAAUUGUCAAAUGCACUGAAGAAUGACUUCCUCUCUGAUAGACUGAAAUCUCAUUGUUUUUAGACUGCUUAACAUUAUGAUUAUGUAAAUAUUUGCUUGUGGGAUAUCAAUGUGUCUGUGGUGACAACAUGGUAAUUAAUUAGCAUAUUUUUUGGCUGGUCUAAAUGAACACUGCUCCAAUGACUAAUUAACUACCUACAGCAAAUGAGUCACACCUAGCUGCAAAACUACCCUGCAACUGCCUAUAGGUGGCAGCGUCCUCAUAACUGAUGCACAGUUCUGAGUUUUCAGGUUUUGUAGUGUUUAUAUUUUCUGAUUAUGGAUCAGUUUGCUUUCAUAAUGUUUUGUUCUGUGCCUGCAAUCAACCCCACGCUUAUCAGCAGGACCAUCUGUGAUUUGUUGCUCCGUGGUCAUUUACCCAUCUGUGAGCUGAUCUGUCUGUCUGAUGGGGUUAAUGGUGAUUGACCUCAUGAAAGGAGUCAACUGAGAGUCUUGUGUCGGACAUUGUAUUGUACAAAACACUUUGCCAACAUCAGUGGCUGUUAUUCCAUGAGAUGAAAGAGUACUUAUAGUUUUCGUCUGCUGUCUUUUGUUGUUAAAUCUGCAGUUCUGCGGUUAGUUAUCAAUGAUUUAAUAAAGUUGAUCCACUUUUUUCUGAAUGGACUUCAGUCAGCAGGUUUGUAAAUUGCCCUUGUGUUCAUGAUGCACUAGCUAUUUGUCCACUGAUGAUGAAAUGGUUGGAACAAACAUUUUUCUUACAAAAUCUCCAUUCAGGCAUCCACUGGAGCAGAGGCAGACACAACAGGAUAAGCGUCUUUGUCUCAGACUCCUGUCUGUCAGAGACACCCCCCUCCCAGCCUUUCCUCUAUUUGGGCGGCUGUUACAGAGAGGGCAGAUGGCUCAUUACCAUAAAUAGGACAGAGAGAGAGUGAGUGAGGGGGCCGUGCACACCGACCAACAGGACCAUGCCGCCCAAAACCAAGGAAAUGGGAGGCCGUUGCUAGGAGAGAGGAAAGACAGCUUUAUGGCAACACAAAGCUGAUUCCCCCAUCCGACCUCAUCUCGCUCCCGCCCCCUCGUUCCCUGCUCUGGGGACCGAGCCUUGAAUCUGCUGGUCGGGGACAGAUGGUCGAUGGGCCCCACCGUCUCUACAGCUGGACACAGGCUACGCUGACACAGUCAGACCUGGCAGGACUGAAUCACACCUUAUCCUGUCCAACCUAUGAGGAACAAGAGCAGAAAGUACUGAAGCCCAGGCCACCAGCUAAGAAUAGAUCCACACUUGUUGCCCACAGGAAAUGUGUGGCUGCUCAGUAGAUGAUAAAAUGUUAAGAGUUUGUCUUUGUAGUACUGUAAUGCUCUCUCUAGGAUGAAAAUCAUUCACCAGGAAUAAUCACAGGUUGUUACUUGCUUCUGUAUUGCUGUUAUUUAGUUUCUAAACAAUUAAUGGCAAAUGUUUGGUCACUGCUUGUAUUGGGAAGUUCUAACCUGAUACACCUACCCACACACACACAAUCUGACAACAUGACUCUGACGUAAAUAGAGUGGGGUUUUUUUCAGCCACACCUCUGUUAUUUUUAAUCUCUCUCUAUUUUCCUAAUCUCAGCAUCCCCAUUUGAGUCAUUGCCCUUGUUUUUAAUGACUGCCAUGUUUGUUAAAUGUAUCUGUCCACAUGCAAAUAUAACAAGUGCACCAAAAUAGGGGAGCGUGGGGUGAGGUGAGGCACUUGGAAAGUACAUCAGUCAAGACACCACCACUGAAACAAUAGCACAUCUGCUCUCACUAGACCUCUGGCUGAAAGGGCAAGAGCAGCCAACUGUCUCACAGACAGGAAGGAGAGGAAAUCAAUUGAGAAAUGAAAGAGUUUAAUUUAAAUCAAUAAAAAAGUUAAAUAAAUCAUAUAAAUGCA